GCCAACCACGGCCGAGUCAAGAUUCAGCGAUUCCACAGCAAUCGCCCUAAUGACAACAGCCUCAUAAUAUCUCCCCUAAAUCCACUUAUUUAUUCUUAGGUAUGUUGCUUGUGAGAAGUUGUAAUCUGCAUCUUGAGGCCGGCCUCCCUUUGUGAGGCUUCUGUAACUAUGGAAGUGUGAUUUACGCAGAUUUGUCCGGGUCAGAGACAUCUUUCCCUACGCACUGUGUAUAUUUAGACAGGAUUCGGACUGGUGUUAAAAAGUGUAUAUGUUGAAUGGAUUCACACACAGUAGCUAACAAUGCCCACAUUGUCGGCCCAUGUACAACGCGUAUUGAAACGCAGCGCCCAGACUUCAACUAAUCUGCCCUCAAUAAAGCUGAAAUAAUUAUCCUA
rnacentral:lncRNA from 1 species